rnacentral:rRNA from 1 species
CUGCUGCCUUCCGUAGGAGUUUGGGCCGUGUCUCAGUCCCAAUGUGGCCGGUCACCCUCUCAGGUCGGCUACUGAUCGUCGGCUUGGUGGGCCGUUACCUCACCAACUACCUAAUCAGACGCGGGUCCCUCCUAUACCACUAUCGUUUUUCACUCAGCGCCAUGCGGCUCCGUGCGCUUAUGCGGUAUUAGCAAUCAUUUCUAACUGUUAUCCCCCUGUAUAGGGCAGGUUACCCACGCGUUACUCACCCGUCCGCCGCU